AAAGCACCCCAGCAAGGGCACCUUACUGAUGUGCAGCAAGGAUUAUACCUGGUGGCACCAGGCUCUCUGUCUCUUCAGAUAUGACAGGCAACAGAGAAGUAUGAAAAAAAAUGGAGCACAGUGGUUGGUAGCCUCGAUGGGAUUUUUAAAAAGGCAAAUUCUAGGGUGGUGGGGGAAGGCAAAUUCUAGGGUGGUGAAUAGAGGGAAGGGAGAAAAAGAAGCAGAUCCUUACAUGUAGCAGAGAGGAAAACCAGUGAUAUUGGCCAAAGAUGAGAACUAUUUUUAAAGGGGAGACAGUUUAGAUACUAUAUCAAAGCAUGCCAACAACUUAGCUUUGGGGGAAGAAGGGGGAGCAUUUACUACAUUCAACCAAGCCAGAUCUUUUCACCCCUGUCUUAUACCAUCCGUGUCUGUAUCCCUGUGUAAUAAUCAUGAAAGUAAACCAGAAAUCAGGAAGAGACAAAAUUUAUAUCCAUUUAAGAAAUCUUUGUAUUUUAGUAAUAUUGCCACUCUAUACCUUUAAAGUGGAAAAUCUACUAGUGCUUAAUUUUCAGGUAUUUUAGUGAUUCUAUGAGAUUUUUCAUCUCACCUUCAGAAUCAUACGUACCAAAAAAAAAGGAUUGAAAUGUUAUUUUUAGAUACUUUUAUGUUUGUACCAUACUAUGCUGCUUCCAUGUAAGCAGAGCCAGCAGUUUUUUGACUAUCAGAUAAGAAAGAUGGUGUCCAAGAAGAUCAAUACUGUAAUCCUGGUACUGCUGUUUAUGGAUUGCUUAGUUAAAUGAUUUAAAGCUUUCAGCCAAAUAAAGUGUUCUUUUAAAGAAAUAUUUAACUUAGAACCUGUGAAAUUGGACAGCAUGGUAAAAUAUGACAUAUGGUCAGUUAAGGUAUAGUUUGGACUGUUCUCACAGAGACCUCAAAAACUGAGUUUAUUUUUUCGUGUGAAGAAGUCUUGAGCAGUCCAGGGCUGGCAUUGUGACUUGACUAUGAGCUUCCCGGUAUCACAUCCACAUUCUAGGCGAGGCGAAGGCACAUUUCUGCUCCAUUGCCACAUUUGGCUACAAAGGAAGCUGCGGAAUUUAGUUUAGCUGGGCAGCCGUGUGAAGAAAGGAGGAACAGACACUGUUCUCUGCUUCCACACAGUGGCAAAGAAGUGAUUGGGGUCCCUCUUCCAGGGUGUGGCACUGGCAACAUUCUCAUCUUGUCUUUUUUUUUUUUUUCUUUGUUUGCUGAUGACUGAGAUUUCAAAAUUUAGAGAAGGUUUAUUUGAUUUGUAAGAAAUAAAAUUUGAGUUCCUGUUAGUUUUGAUAUCCUUGAAUUUAGUAAGUUGGGUUUUUGUUUUUUUAUUUUUUUUUUGAUAUAAAUAAGUUUGAUCCCUUCCAGAGAACAUUUUGGUGAGUAGAAAAAGGAGGCAGGCAUGAAGACAUAGCAUGUUCGAUAGAAGUAUAUCAUGGGGUCGAGUUUGGGUUAGAAGUAUGGAAAAUACAUGAUUAACUUUUUUUUUUUUUAUUUGCCUUCAGCGACUGUUUAGAACUAUGUAGGAGGUUUUUCUUAGGACCAGCGUUUUAGUUGAUGACAUUGAAUAAUGGAGUAUGUUGUUUGAGCCACCUAAAUGAGUGAGAUUCAACUUAACAUUUGAGUGGCUGCUGUGGGCCAGUUGUUUUAUUGAGCACUUGGAAUGCUAUGGUUGGAUGGCAUUACCGACUCAAUGGACAUGGGUUUGAGUGAACUCCAGGAGUUGGUGAUGGACAGGGAGGCCUGGCGUGCUGCGGUUCAUGGGGUCACAAAGAGUCGGACCUGACUGAGCGACUGAACUGAACUGGAAUGCUAAGUUUAAAAAGAUGUGGUUGCUGCAUUUAGAAGUUCACACCAACCUGAAACAGGACUGGAUGUUUUCUUUGAUCAGUUUUCCCUAAAACUGUCCAAUAAAUGAACAUUUAUGAAUCACCUAGUACAUGCCAGUCGCCAUGCUAAUGUAUGGCUUGCCCUUAAAGGCAGGAAGCUUAUAGACUGGAGGUAGGAAGGUAGGUCAGUUUGAAUCCAUUCAGUUCAAUUUAAUGAUACUACUUGGUGAAAAUAGUCAUAAUGUGCAGUAGGAACCCAAGCCUGCAUGAGGGACCCGGGGUGUAAGGGCAGAGAGAACAGCUGUCUUUUCCAUUGUCAAUGACCUGCCAAAGUCACACAGUAUUAACACUGGAUUUUGACCACUUUAUGCCCUGGGACCUGUUGUUACUGUCUGGGUCAAACGUCUUUCCUUACCUCUUUAUUUAUGGUUUGUUUUAUUUUAAGCAUGUCUUGGACAGUUGCUGUGUCUCAGCUGGUAUGGUAGGCACUUUCUUCUAUGUUUUCUUUGAUAUAGUUUUAGUUAUCUGCCUCUUCUUAGAAACUAUAAGGGCUCUUAUUUCCAGUUAGAACAGAUCAUAGAAAUAGCCAGGGUCAUUCUUAUUUAACAGUCAUUUCCUGUAUCAGCCUGAUCAUGCUUUGUGAUACAGCCAUGAAAGUCUACCUGCUGUUCUCCUCUCCCAUCUAAGUCAAAUGACCUUCUUUAUUCCUCCUGCCAAAAGCUCAUCCACAUAUGUAAACAUUGUAGACUGGUUUUUCCCAGUAACCAAUAUUAUGCCAGUUGCAUAACUAACUACCCCAACUUAAUGGCAUACAACAGUGAUUUACUUCCUACCAUUCUGUGGUCUGGCUGGGCAGUUGCUGUGUGCUCAUUUGUGCAACUGUUUUGAGCUGGAGAGCUGGCAUGUCUGGCUGCCUAUCUCCUGGGGCACCUCAUUCUCUUCCACAUGGCCCCUCAUUCUCCAGUAGGCUCUACUGACUUUCUUACAUGGCAGUCUUAGAAUAGCAUUCCAAGAGAAUGAAGAUAGAAAGUUGCAAGACCUCUUGAGUUUUAGGCUUAGAAAAUUGCUUGUCACUUCUACCACAUUCUCUUGCUCAAAGCAAGUCAUAGGCUAGUCUGGAUUCAGAGGUGGGGAAAUAAACUCCACCUCUCAGAUGAAAGUAGCUUCAAAGAAUUUGUGGCAACAUUAUCUACCAUACAUUACUUGUUAGGAAUCUCCAAAUGUCAUAAUUGGUGGCACCUGUGGCUUGGGUUAUUGUGGGUGCAGAAAUAAUAACUCCCCAAAGAUUUCUGCUUCCUAAUAACUAGAAUCUGAAUGUGUUAACAUAUGAGAAUGUUACCUUUGGAGAUAUGAUCAAAUUAAGGAUCAUGAGAUGGAGAGGUUGUCCUGGAUUAUCUGGGUGGGUCCAGUAUAAUCACAAGGGCCCUUAUAAGUGAAACAGGUGGGAGAGUUAGUCACAGCAGAUGUGACAGUGGAAGCAGAGUUUGGAGUGAUCUAAUCGCUGACUUUGAAGACGGAAGAAAGGACCGUGGGCUGAAGAAUGCGAGUAGCCUCCAGAGGCUAGGUAAGACAAGGAUGCACAUCCCCUAGACCCUCCAGAAGGAAUGCAGCCCUAGUGACAUCUUGAUUUGUCCCAGUGAGACUCAUUUCAAACUUCUGACCUCCAAAACUUCUCUGUAUAGGGCUCGCUACUGCUAAUCCACCAGCCGAAGACCUGACCCAUAUCUCAUUUUCUUUUUGAGCUUUAGCUAAUAGGUCUGGCAUAGUGUUUUAAGUAUUCCUCUCAAGCUAGACUUCUCUCCCAUUUGAUCUAAACAUCUGGGACAGUCUUUCCCAGCCUAGUGUUGGUAGAAGGGAACUGGAGGCAGACUGGAGCAGAGGACAUUGUGGCAGAACAAAACAACAUACUACUGAGGUACUACGUAAGUACUGAGGUACUACAUAUAGUACCAUGUACUACAUGGUACUACUUAUGUACCAUGGACUUUCAUUUUUUUUUAGAGCUUCUACUAAUUUUGGGGGAGAUAAUGUUUAAUGUAUUAAUGUACUCUGAGAACACUUGAACUAUGAACAAGAAUUCAUGCCUGGUUUUACACUACCUACUAAUUGAGUGCCUUUGGGCAGUUAACCUCUCUGAACCUUUUGUCCAUCCUAAGAUGAAAGUGUUAGGAUCUUCCUAAAAUUAAAUGAUGUGUGUUAUGGAUUUUAAGUACUGUCUUGUUUAUUUAAUACUAGCUGCUGCUGUCAUUAUCUGAGAAUUGGCUUUAGGUUUUUAUUGCACUAUCAGGAAAAAGAAAAGAGUGCUGAUUUCAGUAAAAGAUUAGUUUUGUAACAUAUGUAUUACUGGUUCUGCAUUUCCCUCCCCCCGGCCCCCAAGCACUCUGAUUUACCCUUGGAGUGUGCUUAGGAAAGGUCAGAACUCUUUUAAGAAUCUGGUUACUCAUAUUAUUAUUAUUAUUUUUUUUCUUUGAAAUUUAUUUACUUUUCU